AUGGGGUGGAGGGGAGCUCCGCACCACCGGCUCGGCUCACCCCCGUCCCACCCACACUCUGGCCAAGUUGGCCCCCAGCCCCCUCUGCCCCAGCACAGCAGCCUGGGACCUGACACCCCAAAGCCGGUCGGGCUCAGAGUCCUACCGGCCCUGCUCGUUAACGUCAGCCAGGCCCAUGUGACCUUGCCUAUGCUGGACGCUGCCCCCACCUCCUCUCUGUACCCCCCAAGACAUUGUAGCCAUUCCUGCUCUACUUCCCACCACCUACAGGACACAGCCUCCCACCCCAGUGCCAGUCCACUCCGCAGCCCAGGGAGUCUGCCAGCUACACUCCCGCUGCAGACAGAGGUGAAAGAGCCCCCAGAGGAGGGCGUCCCAGACCUGCCUGGAACCCGGGAAACAGCCUGCGCUCCUGGUCCCCUGGCCCACCCACCCACCUACCUGCGCGCCAACCCCACCCUGGGACCUCCUCUUUGGGUGGUCAGCAACAUCUCGAGACCAACAUCUGCACAGCCCAACGUUUAUCUGAGCCUGGUCUCACCUGCCGCCCCCCGGCCAUGGUGGGAGACAGGCCCAGCAGCGAGACGCAAGGUUCCGAGAGCAGAGAACAUAGGACAGAGGGAAGGCUGUCGGUCAGAUGAGGCGGGCAGGGCAGACAUGGCCGCAUGCCGGUCUCCAUCAGUCCAUCCUUGACCAUCUCCCCAAGUCUCGAAGACCCACAGUGGCCGCUCCCACACCGGCCGGCUGGGAAAAGGCCCACGGUGGAGGGUGCACGCCGGGGCAGCCAGGGAUUGGUCACUGCCUGAAUGUCCCCGGACGGAUGCCCGUGUGCCCUUGGGCAGCCUUCCCCCCGGACAGGCUGUCCAGGCCGGGGAAACCCUAAGCCAAAGGGAUUAAGAAGAAAGGACAGAAUCGGCCGUUCCUUUGGCCGUGAUCAUUUGUGCCUCAUUUAGUGUAUAUUUGUUCAGUGGGUAAAAACACGGAGGUGAUGACGCCAAGGUCGGGAUGUGCUCCCAUCACUCAGGUCAGCCGCACGGAGGCCGGCCCCGCCCGCCCGCCCGCCCUGCCAGCCUGCCUCUCCCCAGCAGCCAUCUUGCACAUUCCUGUGGUCAGCCGGGAGGGCCACGGGAUCCUUCCCCAGCUCUGGGGUGACCGGAUGGGGAUGCGAGUGCAACCCUCUGCUCAGGCGCUGGAACCGGCCCGGGGCCCCUGACCCAAGCCCUGAGCAUCCUCCCUGCAGGCCCCUGUCCCAGAUGGGGCUGGAACCUCCAGCCUCGCUCUGGUCUGAGCUAGGGGUCCAACCCUGGAUGGCCACCUCUUCCUUCAUGGGCCUGGCCAGCCCCUGCGAGCUGAAGGUGUUUGCUGAUAGGCACCUUGUGGGGGGUCCCUGGGGGCCCCAGGGCUCCUGUGGCUGCAGACCUGGGAUCCCAGGCACCUUGGAGAUGCCAGGCCAUGGUUGACUUCUGCUCAACAGCCUCCUGACCCCAUUGCGUGCUAGAGGCUUCCUGGGGUGGGGGCACACAGGGAAGAGCCUGGAGGGUCUUUCUCAGGAUGGGGCUGGUGGGAAAGAUGCUCUAGUCUCUCCCGCCUAUCAGCAAUGGGAUGUUGAUGGUGGCCUUGACCGCAAAACCCCAGGUCACCGCGGCAAAGGCCAGAGGGACCCCAUGGUGUCAGGAAAGGACUAGGAUCCAGC
rnacentral:lncRNA from 1 species